CAGCCUUCCCAAAACCUGUCUGGCAUUUGUUUCUGGCCUGGUAGGGAAUAUCUUCCAUCUUUCUCUGAGCAUUCAUAAAACAAUACAAAGGUAAACAAUUGGAGGGCAAUUAGCAGUCUCUUUGGGGUAACAGAAGAGAGAAGUCAUCCUGCUAUUAAUGUCAGAGGAAUUAAUCAUGGUUUACAUAGGUGAUUUACUGGCUUAACUUUGCAAGUGGUUGAAACACAAGAACCCAACAAAGUUUACAAAAGAUGCUAGCUUGGAGAACCAGGUAUGGCGGACAGCUUACAGAACUAUCUGUCAAGUAGUUGAAGGUGUUAAAGUUGUUGAGAUGGUGCCUGUUUUGUAAGAGGCCAUGUGGAGUGCAGAUUUGUGUUUCUCAAACUUUAGUGUGAGAUGUAUACCUGGCCAGCUUUGUUAACAUGCAGUAGGUCUAGGGACUGGGCUGUGAUUCUGCCUUCUUAAAAACAAAAACAUUUAUGUACUUAUUUGGCUGCACCAGGUCUUAGUUGCAGCAUGGGGAUCUUCAGUUGUGACAUGUAGUUCCCUGACCAGGGAUUGAACCUGAGCCUCCUGCAUUGGGAGCAUGGAGUCUUAGCCACUGGACCACCAGGGAAGUCCCUAAUUCUGCCUUUUCAACACAUUGUCAGGUGCAGUGCCCAUGCUGCAGGCCAGCACAUCUCAUUUUGCAUAGCAAGGCUGUAGAUUGUUCUUGUACCUGUGGCAGGUAGGAUAAAGCUGCUCAUACUCCCUUUAAGAAUCUCCAUUUAUCAACAUGUUGCACUCUGAAUGUUCAUGGCUUAAGGGAUCAGAACAGCUUUUGGGAGUGGAGGUAGUUGGCCAAAUACUUCAUUGUGCAUAUCAACAACUUCUUUCACAAGCACCAAUUUAAAAAAAAAAAAAACAUAAAAAUAUUUACAGGCCAUGUUUAUUUACAUUUAUUGAACUAUACCCUUAAAAGAAAACAGGAAAUGUAAUCUCUGUAACUAAAGCCCCUCUGUGAUUAAAACCUCAGAAAAUGCACUAUUGUUUCUAGUUUGAAUGCUGAGCCUCUUAACAAGUUUUGGCAUUGGGGAAGCCCCUUUGAAAGCUGGGAUCUUUUACCAUUGCUUGACUAGCUUUUCAAGCCAUUCAGUUAUCAAAUGUGGUUUGUUUCAGAAUGCCUGAUCGUGUUGUAUAAAGGGGUCCCUCAGUAUCUGAGGAGACUGGUUCCAGGACCUUGCUCAGAUACCCAAGUAGGUGGAGGCUCAAGUCCCUUCCAGUACAUCCUCCACAGGGGCUGGUUCUGCAUUCACAGAUUCAACUGGCAGCAUCCACUGAACCGUGGGCUGAAUAGGUGGAUUCAGAACCAGUGGAUACCGAGUGCCAACUGUACUUUAUUUUUAAACUUUUUUUUGGUUCCAAAUACUUCCCAUACUUUAAAAACCAUACUUUAAAAACGGAGAUCCUCUGUUGGUUUUUGGUAUGGACAUAGAGCCACAUUACAACACAGAGAACACACUUCUUUUGCCACUUACUGUGAAACAUGUGAUUUUCAUUAGCCAUUUUUCUCUUCUUGGAAGGAAACUUAGGAGUAUAAGCCUUCAUUUAGAGUAUUCUGAACACUUCUACUAACCUUUCCCUUUUCCCCAUGUCCCUCUUCUCCUCCCUUUCUCUCCUUCCCUCCUUUCUUCACUGUGUUUUCCGGUACCUGGAUGUCUGCCACACCUGGGGUAGGGGAGAGGGAGAAGGUAAGCGGGGGAUCUUGAUUUUGACUCUCUGGUCUCACUCAGUUGCUGUCCAUAAAUGGCUAUGUGGGUUGGCUAUUUGUGAGAAGGUUAAAUGAUUUCUGAGGAGGGGUGGCACAUCUCUUUGGUAAAGUGAAGAGUAUGAGAUGGGAAUACAAAAGGAGCCAGGACACCUGGAUUCUAAUCCUUGUUUAGCCACUCACCAAUUAUUUGGCCUUGGAGGGCAAUUUAACCUCCCCGGGUUUCAGCUUCCUAAUCUGUAAUUUGAUAUACAUAUUUGGUUAUGCCUAUUUCUCAGAGUGUAGGAGUCUUAUCACUGGGAUGGCAUUAGAUUACAUUGAAUCACAUAUUGAGAACUGUACUUCCUUGGCAGUCACUUUCAUUUCUUUCUGGUUGUUCAAACAACAUCAACAGCAACAAAAAGAAAACUAUUCUCUGUUCACAUUCAUUAAUAUUUUCCUAGGAC
rnacentral:lncRNA from 1 species